UCUAUGCUUUGCCCGUUUCGUUCGAUUGGCAAAGUGGAAUAAAAAUUGUUCAGUUUAUUUCGUGCGUUUAACGUAUUCGGUUGUGCUAGUUCGUGGUAAAAGUGAUGAAAUAGAAAAGUGUUUUGCCGUGUGAGCGGAAUAGACACGACGAACUGAAGUGAAUAAAGAAAAAUAAAUGCGACGGUGAAUGAAAAUUGCAAAUACAGACAUAAUAAUAAAAUUAUAAAAACAAAAUAAUAUAAAUAAGCAAAAAAGGCAGUGGUGCAACAACAGUUUGCAAAAGUGAUGGUGGAGGUAUGCACAAUAAUUCUAUCGUAAUAAGUUUUCGUAUUUAAUAAAAGGUGCUUGUGCGAUGUUAAGAAUAUUUAUGUACAUACAUACAUAGUGGUAAAAGUAGCACGAUGCAGAAAAUGUAUUCUAUCAUUCUUGUAAAGUAUGUAGCAUAUUGACGAGGGGUUGUAUACUCGCCAAACUACAUACCUCCAAGAUGCUUCAGUUGACGGCAUUGAAUCUCGUUAUGGUUGAUUCGAGUAAAUUGUCCAUUUUGCGCACUUUCAUGCUCCCAGUGGUCGCCUUCGGGUGCCAGCAAAACCAAUCGGCUCCGCUCCACUUAUCUAUAUACAUACAUACUUAUAUGUAUGUAUGUACAUUUGUGCAUGCUAAUAUAAGUAAAUAUAUUUAUUCAUUUAACUAGCGUGUCUUCGGCAAAUAAAUUCUGAUUGCGCGCGUACUCCGAUGCAAACGGAUGCGCGCAUUACGAUUUCAACGAGUUAGCUGUAAGAUGUAAAACUCCGCGCAUUGUAUGCUAUAUAGUGACUAUAUAGUAAAUUUGCAUAGACUUCCGCCGUGGUACUAGUAUGUACAAUACGAGUACACGUACGCCGUAAUCAGGAACCAUCAAAGAAAAAAAAUGGGCGCAUAGGAAAAAAUUUCACUUAUCGUUUUUCUACAACACAAUACUUGUGACAGCAAACCCGUAUUGACAUUAGGGAAACGGAAAGGCAUACUUAUGAUGGCACGCUUAUCGCUAG